ensembl:miRNA
CCUCGCACAUAGCAGGUCCUCAAGAAGUAUUUGUUGAAAAAAUAAACAGAGCAACAAAUCUUAUUUGAGCACCUGUUAUGUGGAGG